UACAGAGGGGGCUAUCGUUGUUCGGAAUCACUGGGCGUAAAGCGCACGCAGGCGGAUCGAUAAGUCGGGGGUGAAAGCCCGGGGCUCAACCUCGGAAUUGCCUUCGAUACUGUCGGUCUCGAGUCCGGGAGAGGUGAGUGGAAUUCCUAGUGUAGAGGUGAAAUUCGUAGAUAUUAGGAAGAACACCAGUGGCGAAGGCGGCUCACUGGCCCGGUACUGACGCUCAGGUGCGAAAGCGUGGGGAGGAAACAGG
rnacentral:rRNA from 1 species